rnacentral:rRNA from 1 species
UACGUAGGGGGCAAGCGUUGUCCGGAAUCAUUGGGCGUAAAGAGCGCGUAGGCGGCCCUGUAAGUCCGCUGUGAAAGUCAAGGGCUCAACCCUUGAAUGCCGGUGGAUACUGCAGGGCUAGAGUACGGUAGAGGGGGAUGGAAUUCCGCGUGUAGCAGUGAAAUGCGUAGAUAUGCGGAGGAACACCGAUGGCGAAGGCAAUCCCCUGGACCUGUACUGACGCUCAUGCACGAAAGCGUGGGGAGCAAACAGG